rnacentral:rRNA from 1 species
CUUUCAACAACGGAUCUCUUGGUUCCAGCAUCGAUGAAGAACGCAGCGAAAUGCGAUAAUUAAUGUGAAUUGCAGAAUUCAGUGAAUCAUCGAGUCUUUGAACGCACAUUGCGCCCCUCGGUAUUCCGGGGGGCAUGCCUGUUCGAGCGUCAU